UACGGGGGGGUAAGCGUUGUUCGGAAUUACUGGGCGUAAGGGGCUCGUAGGCGGCCAACUAAGUCAGACGUGAAAUCCCUCAGCUUAACUGGGAACUGCGUCUGAUACUGGAUGGCUUGGAUUCGGGAGAGGAAUGCGGAAUUCCAGGUGUAGCGGUGAAAUGCGUAGAUAUCUGGAGGAACACCGGUGGCGAAGGCGGCAUUCUGGACCGAUAUUGACGCUGAGGAGCGAAAGCCAGGGGAGCAAACGGG
rnacentral:rRNA from 1 species